rnacentral:rRNA from 1 species
AGGAACCUGCCUUCCAGAGGGGGACAACAGUUGGAAACGACUGCUAAUACCGCAUGAUGCAUUGAAGUCGCAUGGCUUUGAUGUCAAAGAUUUAUCGCUGGAAGAUGGCCUCGCGUCUGAUUAGCUAGUUGGUGAGGUAACGGCCCACCAAGGCGACGAUCAGUAGCCGGACUGAGAGGUUGGCCGGCCACAUUGGGACUGAGAUACGGCCCAGACUCCUACGGGAGGCAGCAG